GAAGUGCUCUGCAGAGAGGUGCUGCUGCUGCAGAGAAAGGGCAGAACAUUUUGAUGGGAGUGACAGAGGAAGCUGCUCCCUUAUCAUGGCUAUGAAACAAAAGAGAGCAAGAAAGAGACAGGAUUACCAGUAUCUCCUUCAGUUCAGUCCUGUGGUAAACACCAAAUACGAUUCAUCAGCUCCAGACCAGUCCUCUAGGCAGGCAGACACCAGGGACGAACCAGCAGCUACAGUCCAGUUCUUUCAGCAAGCAGACACCGGGCAUGAACCAGCAGAUGUAGUUCAAUCCUGAAGAAACCACUAGACUCAUCAGAUGUCCCAAAGCAAGGCCCCAGAAGUCACAUGCUGCUGCAGGAACCACGCAAGAAGUUUUUGGGUAGAAAUGGAGAUUAGCCACUGUCGUGAAAGGAUAAACCGCAAAAGGACUCUAUCUGUCCUAUGCGUGUGCACUUGGCUCGAGUGCAGGCCCAUUGAAGAAUUUGGCUAUGCACACUGAGCCCUGCACUGGCCUCUGCAUCCCUCCAAGCCUCCCAACAGCGAUUUUACUUUUCUUUUAAGUGUGUGUGUGUG
rnacentral:lncRNA from 1 species